UCAGGAAACUUGGGCUAUAAAACUAAAAAAACAAAGAAAUUUUGGACUUGAUAAUUGGGUGCUAAAGGAUAUUCUUUCAUUGUCCAAGUGGUCUCUAGUGUGAUAAUUUGAAGAGAUUAAAAACUUGUUGAGCAGUUUUGAAGUAGUACAACAGUACAAAGAAAGUAGUACAUGUGAGUACAGUGCACAAUGGCAUAAAAGGAGUUUAAAUAAAAUAGACCCCCAAGUAUAAAGAGUUAAGUGAAGCAAGUUUUCCUUGAUUUAUUUUUUUACUUAAGCCAUGUCAAUGACGGAUGCUCCAAGAUUUGCUUCUCUAUCCAAUCAACAACUUUUGAACAUAUAUUUUGUGAAGACUUUUGAUUAUUUGUGGCUCUGUUUGUAGGCUUGUUACUGCAUUUGAUUCAUGCUGUUCACAGACCAGGCACAGUGCUUCUUGGAUAUAUAAUGUAAGUAAACUUACAUUUCUUUCUUUGAAUGGUGAAUGCGAUGAAUACUCGACCGUUAUACCAACCGAGUUGAAAUGGCAUUUGAAGAAACAUGUCCUGCCCUUAUGCACGAACAACUCAAUUGGCUCUUCAAUGGUAGAUUGUGUAGGUAAAGACACAGAUCGAGCCAAUUGCAAUGUGAGAGUUAAGCCCAUAGUGAAUCUUUAUAGGCACCAGACAUCGAUCAUCCAACCUACCUCCUACUUAAUGAGUUGCUAAGUCACUUUGGUUUAGUUUAGUAUUGAGUAUUUUUCUUUCUUCUCCCAAAAAGUUGAAUCCCAACCCAAGGGCCCCACACCCUAGUCCGAGAGAGCAUUUGAGAUGAUGUAUAUCACGGUAACUCAAUGGCUUAGCAGACAUGGCCAAAUGCCAGUGCGCACAAGAGAUUUGUCCACUUUGGGCAUAAUUGCCACACUGUCGCCCCGCCGAAAUGGUGGAUGCAUCAUUACUGAGCCACAGCAAACAUGGCAAUAUGAAUUCCUUUGUGCCCAAACAAUAUGCAAACAGGUUUAUAAAUGUUACGAAAUGAAACUAGUGGAUGCUAGUAGUAGUACUUGUUGAGUUGUUGUGAUGGUGUGGUGGAUGCUAGUAGUAGUACAAAUAGUACAGGAGGGGAAGUAGUAGUACAACGUGACUACGCGAGUACAAUGCACAAAACAAAGCCAUAAAAAAGGAGCUUCUACAGAAAUGUAUGUGCCUGCAAAAGCCUUCCAGCACAUUGGGGAAGACAAUAAUGUACAUAAUCUUUCCCACACUUCACUCUAUAUAUUAUUUCAAAGAGACUAGUCAGAACAUGCCAGGUUAGUCUACAAAUCAUCAACUACAUUUUAGUUUGUCACAAACACAAUAGUAAUAUGUUUUUGUGGACUGUACACUUCUAUUUGCAUAUACUUUUGGGUGGUCUACUAAACCAUUCCGUGUUGUUUAGUAUUCUCUCCGUUAUAUUUUAUAUAUCAUGUUUACUAUUCAUGGAUC